GAUGAACGCCGGCGGUGUGCCUAAUACAUGCAAGUCGAGCGCACUGGCCCAACUGAUAUGACGUGCUUGCACUGAAUUGACGUUGGAUUCCCAGUGAGCGGCGGACGGGUGAGUAACACGUGGGCAACCUGCCCUGAAGCGGGGGAUAACAUCUGGAAACAGGUGCUAAUAUCGCAUAACAACGAAAACCGCAUGGUUUUCGUUUCAAAGAUGGUUUCGGCUAUCACUUCAGGAUGGGCCCGCGGUGCAUUAGCUAGUUGGUAAGGUAACGGCUUACCAAGGCGAUGAUGCAUAGCCGAGUUGAGAGACUGAUCGGCCACAAUGGAACUGAGACACGGUCCAUACUCCUACGGGAGGCAGCAGUAGGGAAUCUUCCACAAUGGGCGCAAGCCUGAUGGAGCAACACCGCGUGAGUGAAGAAGGGUUUCGGCUCGUAAAGCUCUGUUGUUGGAGAAGAACGUGCGUGAGAGUAACUGUUCACGCAGUGACGGUAUCCAACCAGAAAGUCACGGCUAACUACGUGCCAGCAGCCGCGGUAAUACGUAGGUGGCAAGCGUUAUCCGGAUUUAUUGGGCGUAAAGCGAGCGCAGGCGGUUGUUUAGGUCUGAUGUGAAAGCCUUCGGCUUAACCGAAGAAGUGCAUCGGAAACCGGGCGACUUGAGUGCAGAAGAGGACAGUGGAACUCCAUGUGUAGCGGUGGAAUGCGUAGAUAUAUGGAAGAACACCAGUGGCGAAGGCGGCUGUCUGGUCUGCAACUGACGCUGAGGCUCGAAAGCAUGGGUAGCGAACAGG
rnacentral:rRNA from 1 species